rnacentral:lncRNA from 1 species
GGAGUUUGUUGCGGGCAGUGGGAAGGCAUGGGUUUGGUCGAAGAAUUCCAUGCCAAGGACAAUCUUGAAGUUAUCCAUGGGCACAAUUGAGAAGUCGAGCUUUCCACUCCACGUUCCGAGUGUUAACUGCACGCCUUUUACAGUCCCCGCAAUUGGCUCAGCGGGUGAGUUUACCGCCUUCAUAAUUCCUCCUUCCUUGGUGGCCUUGAGGCCUAAGUGCUUGGCCUCGUCUAUGGUCACGAAGUUGUCUGUCGCUCCCAUGUCUAGCAGCGCGCGAACGGACUGGCCAUUUAUCUUGCCGCUUACAUACAUGAGCCCCUUCUUGACGGGUUUGGGC